UUGUGGCAUUUCAAAGCGAUUUUAAGCUGCAGCGCCAGAGCACGCGCUUGCGCAUAACUGGGGCCAUUGGACCCUACCGGGUGGCACCCUUAACCCGGAGCGCGAGGC
rnacentral:snoRNA from 1 species